CAGUCGCCGCGGUAAUACAGAGGGUGCAAGCGUUAAUCGGAAUUACUGGGCGUAAAGCGCGCGUAGGUGGUUUGUUAAGUUGGAUGUGAAAGCCCCGGGCUCAACCUGGGAACUGCAUCCAAAACUGGCAAGCUAGAGUACGGUAGAGGGUGGUGGAAUUUCCUGUGUAGCGGUGAAAUGCGUAGAUAUAGGAAGGAACACCAGUGGCGAAGGCGACCACCUGGACUGAUACUGACACUGAGGUGCGAAAGCGUGGGGAGCAAACAGGAUUAGAUACCCCUGUAGUCCCUGUCUCUUAUAC
rnacentral:rRNA from 1 species